CUAACAUCAACACCAAAAUACGCACAGCGGCUAAGAAUCAAUCCUUCACCAAAAAACAAAACAUCACUACACCACGCAGCUAUGAAUAAUGACUAAAGUCAACCAGCAACAUCCAGGACUACUAGCAACAUCAAAACACGCACAGCGGCCGAAGAAAACAAUCCAGUUCUUCGAACGUGUAAUAUCGCUAGAACCACGAAGCUGUAAAAAACGACAAAGUCAACAAACUAUGCCUAGAACCACUAGCAGCAUAAAAUACGCCUCGCGGUACCAAAAAAUGCUCUUUGACAAAAAACGAAACAACAUCAAGCUUUACUAGACUGCCAUACCUGUAAACAACUGUUAGUAAGCACCAAUCAUUCGAAAACACCAACAGGUAGAACAACCUGAAGUCGACACAGUUAUGAAUGAAGACAUCAGUCGCCGAACCAUGCUUGGAAACAUCUGUCAAGCUAAAAAUACGCAGCGCGGUUAAGUAAAAAUACUUCAAGUUAAUCAAUGAACAAUAAUGUCAAUUGAAAAUUAUCGCUAAUCGGUCAAGACUCUAAGUCAUCAUAUCGCAAAAUUAAUGUUAAACAAAUCAAAAUCCAAGGCAAAAUAUUCCAUUCUUAUCAUGUCCAUAAUUCCUCAUUGUAGUAUAAUCAGAUAUUGUAGUUCUAAAGACAUAAUAAUCAAACCCUCAACAAACAUACUCCACCAACCAUAACCUAAGCAAUAGCCACCCCAUCAAACGAAGAAUACAGAUGAAUGUUCUACGGAGAGAAGCAAAUACAACAGUACCUAUGAAGCACAUCUUCCAGAACUUAGCUGGAAUGCUGAUUGACACAGAAUGCAAUCAGUUCAAAUUUUAGUUCAAGUAUUAGCCCGAACAUAAGCUGCAAGCGCUAUGCAGUUUUGUGAGACACCAAGACACUCGUCGUAGCCGCAAAUUGCGGGAGGAUUUAUCGAGAGUGUAUUACUUAAGUUUUGAGUCUUCUUCCAAAGAACUACCAUCAUCAAGAAACCACACCCAAAAGCCACCAAACCAUAGCCCAAGACCAAAGAACCAUUCAACCACACCACAGAGAAAAAUCCGAACAGGAGAAGCAUAUACGUUAGCAGUAAGCAAAUUUUCCAGAGCAUAGCUGGAAGGCUGACAACGAGAUCAGCGAAGCUUAAGUUCAAGCAUUAGCACUAAGUUAAAUUGCAACAUUUUGCAAUUGUAAGAGAUAUCAAACACUCAUCGUAGCUGCAAAGAUCGCAGAGAAUAAUUUGUCGAGAGUGUAUUAGUUAAGAUAACAAGACUUCUCCUGUUAUAAGACCGAAACAUAACGCUGGUAAAAUUUUGUGAAUUUGUCAUAAAAAUUCACAAAAUUUUAAGAUAAAUUGUAGAUUGUGUUACAAUUAUUGACUGGGUCACAAAAAACCCAAAGUCUAAAAUCACAUAAAAUUUAGACGUACACGCCGACCGGUCUACCACAUAUCAAGUGACAUUUGACCAAACAGAAAAAGUGGGAAAAAAGCUUCACACGUUUUCCCGACGCGUCUUUCCAAAAGUUUGGAAAACGCUAAUUAAGAAAUUGUGGUCCGCAGCAAACAACCCGUCAACACUCCGAGAUUCGGGAAUUCCGGAUAGUGCCAGGGGAAAGGAACCCCUUUGCGUCCGAAUCGACCCAGCGAAGAUCCGACGAGAUCCAGCACGAAGAGGCCUUCUGAAAAGAGGGCUUUUUUGUGGUGUGGCAUUUUCCACACACACGUGGAAUCGUCGCCGCGUUGGAUCAUCGCUUGCAGGAGACUACCGGUGUUGGAUCGCUUCAAGGGUGCUUACUGCCGAAGAGAAGUCAAUUCCGGCCAGCACUUGAGGGAGCUGUUCACCUCGAAGUGAACUGUGGUGACCCUCAGUGCGCAGCGACCAACACCACCGGAGCGGAUUGCAAAUUAUUUCAGGCACUCUUGCCUACUGUACUUUAUUCCCCGGCCACUAGCGCCGUAGGGGAAGUUACCCCGGAGAACAAAACCGGGUCAGCGGUUAUUUGUAUUCCGGCCACGAGCGCCGAAGGGAAUUUGAGUGCCGUUGUUUAAGCGCCGAUUAAGGUGCUGUUUUUUUAUUUCGGCCACCAGCGCCAAGAGGGACGUUGCUCGUGUUCCGACCCCGAGCAAUGUCCAUAAGUGGAUGUCGGGUUUGUGAGUGCUGAUUGAGUGGCCAUUUGUUCAUCCGGCCCCCAGCGCCAAAAGGACCUUGCUCGUGAUCCGGCCCCGAGCAAAGGCCAGUGUUUGAUGCCGGGAAUUGCCGCCCAAUAAGGCGUUUCAAGCUAGUGUUCCAGCCUCGAGCGCUGAAGGGAUUCUUGCGUCGUUUUCUUGCCGAGAAGAGGAGCGUGAUGUUCCGAGCGUGAACAUAUCACCAGAAACAUCAAGGUAAGCUUAAGGUUUAUGGUUUUUAUUCAUUAAUGGUUUGAUUCGCAUCUGACGCACUCUUUUCAUUUCGUGCACAGAUUGCAGAGCAGCAAGAUUGCUACAAUUUAAAAAUUCCGGCAAGAGAUCUGCCACAACGGGAAAAUGGGUGUAGUAACAGCCGUUGGAACAACAAGGGGAUUCUAGCCCACCACAAAACCGAGAUGGUGCUUAUCACCAACUUGAUCUCACCCCAAACAGGUACCAUUGCCGUUGGACCGUGCAAUAUCGUGUCCAAACGCGCAAUCAAGUACCUAGGGGUGAUGAUUGACGACAGGCUCAGCUUCACGAGCCAUGUCGAAUACGUGUGCAAGAGAGCGGCAAUGGCCACGGCCGCACUCACACGAAUGAUGCCGAACUCCUCGGCCAUCCAAAGCAGCAAAAGGCGGAUCCUGGCAAGCGUGACUACUUCGAUCUUGCGGUACGGAGCAGCGGCCUGGAGGCGGGCCCUGGGAAGAAGCUGUAACCUGCAGCGACUUAGCAGCGUUCAGCGGCUGAUGAACGUGUAACGUCUUUAUCAAAAUUGAGUAUGAUAUGGCUUAAGCACCCUAAAUUAAUGAAAUGCGUUUGAGCGUGUAUCAAUGACAACAGGGGGAAAACGUCAAAAAAAAGAAAAGAAAGGAGGCCACGCGGCAGAAAAGAGGCUCUCGUUUUUCUCGUCUCGUCGGAACGAGGUGUGUCGGCUUGGCGCUGCGGAAUCCGGUUUUCUUGGGGGAUUUCACGGGUGCGGUUCGAACGGGAAGCGCUGGUGGUUCGUCCGGAUUCUCACCAUAAGGAGUGCCAGUUAACGUGCGCGAACGAUUGCACCGGUUAAAAGUACACGCGAGGCUGUAGCUCUAGCGGGUGUGGAUUUUCUCUCGGUGGUCGCAUUAAUAAUUGUGUGCAGCACACCUCGUCGCGAGUUUCGUCAUCGUUAGUCGCGGAAUCUGGCUUGAGAUCAGCCCGGGAGUGGUUUCGAAGUACGAACGGGAAGACGCCAACUUGAAAGAGGCUCGGAAGUUGUCUGCGCCGUUGCCUCCGGAGAAGAAUUCGGCUAAAGGAAGACGAUCUUGCAGCGGUAGUGGUCUUCCGAGGUGGGCAAGCUGCACGUGUUAAGUCGGAACACGUGCAAACUCCCUGACGGCGUUGGUACGGUGGCAUAGCCAGCUCUAUCAUCAACACCGUGCGACAUCGCUGCGAACCGGCGACCAGUUUGGCUGCGGCGUGGUGGUCCGAUCUGCAAUGCUCUCACGGAGAUGAGACAAUAUCCACCUGCUGCUUCCUGAGGUAUUCGUGGUGCCAGUAUCACCGCGCUGCACGCGCUGCUGCCGAAAACAAAAAGAGUAAGUGACACGCACAUUUAUCCUCUAGGGUGCUCGGCAUUAGGCCGGAAUUAUAAGCCUUUUCUUCCUUCCUUGGCCACAGAUUGCGCCACUUACAAUUAGAGGGUCUCUCUCGCGACACAGGUUAUCAGCGGAUACCGGACCAUGUCGUCCGAAGCCGCCUGUGUAGUAGCGGGUGUUAUGCCCAUCUCGGUUUUGCUUGAGGAGGAUGUCUAUUGCUACGACAACAAAGACACGCCCAAUGUACGAGACCUCGCUAAUGAGGACUCGAUGUCCAACUGGCAGCAGCUGUGGGACAGCUCAACGAGAGGAAGGUGGACCCAUCGUCUGAUCCCGCACAUCGGGAGCUGGAUCGGAAGAAGGCACGGUGAAGUGGACUUCUAUAUGACGCAAUUCCUGAUUGGUCAUGGAUGCUUCAUGAAGUACCACUACCGGUUUGGACAUGUGGCUUCGCCAUACUGCCCAGAUUGUGAUGGAGAAGAGGAAACACCUGAGCAUGUGGUGUUUGUCUGUCCGAGGUUUGCGGCGGUACGUACUUCCAUAUUUGCCGCCUGUGGGCCCGACACGACAGCAGAUAACGUUGUACAGAGGAUGUGUGCGGAUUCCAACACUUGGCAUGCGGUCAGCGAUGGGUUCACCCGGAUCAUGACUGCCCUGCAGAGGAGCUGGAACCAACGGCAGUCCGCGAACGGUGUAGGAUGACUCCAUCGACGGGGAGCAUCUGAGUAGUGUGCGUCUGAUCCCUUGAUCGAAGCUACAAAGAUAAGGCAACAUCUUGUGCGUAGCGGAGGUCGGGGGUGCGCCGCGAACGUGUGUAGGAUACCCCAACGUCGGGGGGUAUCCGAGUAGUGCCGCUUCCUAAGAGGGAAACUGCGGGGAUAAGACUUUACCUUCUUCGUAGCAGAUCUUGAGGGAAGAGGGUUAACCUAAAGAAACUAUAGUAAACAAAGAAGCGCAAUCUGAUCCCUUUCGAAAUAAUGUGCUUGCAACCCUGCUGUAGGUCUGCCUUUAAGACUGCUUGGUUUUGCUCGAUUGGAAUGACACUGACAGAAAAUCCAAAAAUUCCAAUCGUGACAUUUCGUCUCUUUGUUUACUAUAGGCUCGUUAGGUUAACCACUGUCGGGGGAUACCCACGGGUAGAGAGGCUCUCGACGCCGGGCGAGCCUCUCGAGUCGAUGUAGGAUGUCGUCACCGUCGGGAAACAUCCGAGUCGUAGCGUUCCAAGUCCCGAAUGUGUGCCGUGACAGGCGCGAGUCUAGGAUAAGCUGCUCUCGAUCUGGCACACAACGGGCAGGAAAAAUCCGCGGGCCAAAAAUCCUAGGGUUGCCAGCCAAGGGGGAUAAAGAAGACCGGACAACGGUCGGAGUAGACUGACCCCAUCGACGGGGGGCUGUCGAGUAGAGUGCGUCCGACCCCGCGGUUUGAAGUUACAAAGAUAAGACAAUACCUUCUGCGUAGCGGAUGCCGUGGGUGCGCCGCGUUCGUGCGUAGCAUGCUCCACCUUCGGGGAGUAUCCGAGUAGAGCGGUUCUCAACUACAGAAGCUGCGGGGAUAAGACUUGACCUUCUUCGCAGUGGAAAUCGUUGGGAAAGGGUUAUUCCACGUUCGGGGAAUACCCCCGGGUAGAGUGGCUCUCGACGCCGGGUGAGCCAUUCGAGUCGCAGUAGGAUGACGUCUUCGUCGGGAAUCAUCCGAGUCGUUGGUGAAAGUCCCGCGCGUGUGCCGUGACAGGCGCGAGUCUAGGAUAAGCUGCUCUCGAUCUGGCACACGACGGGCAAGGUGGCAAACUUCGAACCCUGAAGAUAAGAGGUCGGGCUUCGAGUCGUUAGAGGAGAGGUCAGGUCUCAAACCUUCAGGCGGAGAGGUUUGUGUGGUCAACCCCGAGUCUUUAUGUUAAGGGGUCGGGUCUCGAGUCGUAAGAGAAGGGAGCAGGCCCCUUACCAACAAGAGGUGGGGUACAAGUGGUCACCUCGAGUCAUUACGAGGAGAGGUCAGAUUUCAAAUCGUUAGAGGAGAGAUCGGGCCUUGAAUCGUGCAGAGGAGAGGUAAACCUCGAGUCGAUGCGAGGAGGGGUCGGAUCUCAAGUCGUUAGAGGAGAGAUCAGGCCUCAAGUCGCGAAGAGGAGAGGUUUGUGUGGGAAUCUUGAGUCAUUGCGAGGAGAUGUAGGUUCUCAAGUCGUUAGAGGAGAGUUCAGGCGUCGAGUCGUAAGGAUGAGAGGUUUUGCUGAAAGUGGUCUCGUUAAUGAGUAUUGCCUUGGAGCGUAUUAGCGCGAAUAGACCUCCCACUAUUGAAGUAUAGUGUACUAAACAGUUCGAGGUGGGAACCAGGUCUGCGGCCCCAGGUGGAGUUUAGGGAGUAGGGGGUAUACACGGAGUAUAUCAUGAGUCUUCCCAUUGUACCCAUGGACCCAGAGUAGCAAACUGGGGGGACGCGGUGGCUCGCCGUGCCUUGGAAUACAAUCCGUAAACCGGGAUUUACCACCUGUGGUUACCAACUAAAAAAAAAUGCAAGGGGGAUUCUAGCGUUCUGUAACUUACAAGCUUGCAAACGUACAUCGCGCAGCAAGCAAGCAACUUGCAGACUGCAGACAUGUAGCUAUCUUCGGGAAUGAUUCUUUCUGUCCAUGGAAAGAAAGGAGAAGAUGGCCAUGAUGGCUCGGAAGAACGCAAAGCCGAAUUGCCACGAGCCUGGCGAAGAAAGAACUAGCCUCAAAAAUAAAGUCUAUUUAUCUCAAAUAAAUAUGUUUUUUUUUUUUUAAUAAAUUGUGUUUUUGUUUUAUUUUUAUUGCAGAAACCAACCAAACCAACUAUCAAUUACCAAUCAGUGAAUGGUAUUAUUCACUAUUUUGCUAGGUGAAUGCGAAAAGGGUAAAAUUUACCUUUUUGCAAGGUGAAUGAAAAGAAACGGUAAAAUGUACCGAGAAAGCUGGGUGGAAAAAAAUCACCUCUCUUCUAGGUAAAUUUUUUCUUUUUUACGCAAUUGAUUGAUGAUCAUAUACGAAACGCACAAACUUGUAGCUCGCCCCACCGGGCUGCCAGUAAACCAAUGAAAUGCAUUUGCGAGCUGGCCUAGCAUGGGUGUUUUUUUGGGGAUUUGGAUGUUCGUUGGCAGAGACUUUUUGAUAAGACCAUCGUCCCAAUCACGGAUCGGUGAUAUUCCACUUACGAAGUUCCGAUACCGUUCAUAAAUAAACUAAUAAUAUUUAUUUAGUCUUAUAAUCUUACUACAUAAUGAUCUUAUGCAAUCCUGUACUUCUCUUCCUGAUACUUAUACCUACUUUUUGGCAAUUAUUUUACAAAUCCGUCUUCUAUAACGAAACUUUUUACCUUUUCAUGCGUGUAGCUUUAAACUUUGUCUAUAGAAUAAUAUACGUCAAAUAACAUACUCUAUUAUCUACGCGUUUAAACAUUUCCGCAUUUUUUUUUUUUGCUGGCUGUUCAGUAGCUAUAAUGUGCCUUUCGUUGAAUCAUCACGGGAAUAAAAGUAAAUUCAACAUAGUGCCAUAUGUUUCCCCUUCUGGCAGCAUUUGAACCUUUCGUUCGGGUUGGUUUUAACAAAUCUUAAAAUCCCCAAAUUCAAUGAAAGUUUGAUUUACAACAAUAUAGAUAGAAAAGGAUAAUAAAAUAUCACUUAUUAUUUUCUUUUAUAAUUUCGUUUAUGGAAAACUUUGGACUUCGAACCAUCUUGGUCUUCUUGUGUCAAUAUUCACUAAUUAAAAUAGAUUUUCUUUUUAAAAUAACCUAAUGAAUAACAUUCCACUUGUGGCAAACUAAGGCAAGAUGUGAGAUGUUUACUUGUGUAAUGUUUGUUAGAUAAAAGUGUAUUCAAAACAAGCUAAAACAUUAAAACAAUCAGU